rnacentral:rRNA from 1 species
ACUCAAAGGAAUUGACGGGGGCCCGCACAAGCGGUGGAGCAUGUGGCUCAAUUCGAUGCAACGCGAAGAACCUUACCAGGCCUUGACAUGCAUUGGACCGACGCUGAAAGGCGUCUUUCCCGCAAGGGACCGAUGCACAGGUGCUGCAUGGCUGUCGUCAGCUCGUGUCGUGAGAUGUUGCCUUAAGUGGCGCAACGAGCGCAACCCCUGUCCCUAGUUGCCAUCAUUCAGUUGGGCACUCUAGGGAGACAAACCUCUUUUAGAGGUGGGAAGGUGGGGAUGACGUCAAGUCAGGAUGGCCCUUACGGCCUGGGCUGCACACGUGCUACAAUGCCCGGUACAGAGGGAAGCGAAACCGCGAGGUGGAGCAAAUCCUCAAAACCGGGCCCAGUUCAGAUUGGAGUCUGCAACUCGACUCCAUGAAGCCGGAAUCGCUAGUAAUGGCGCAUCAGCUACGGCGCCGUGAAUACGUUCCCGGGCCUUGUACACACCGCCCGU